AUUGAACGCUGGCGGCAUGCCUUACACAUGCAAGUCGAACGGCAGCACGGGGCAACCUGGUGGCGAGUGGCGAACGGGUGAGUAAUAUAUCGGAACGUACCCAAGAGUGGGGGAUAACGUAGCGAAAGUUACGCUAAUACCGCAUACGAUCUAAGGAUGAAAGCAGGGGACCGCAAGGCCUUGUGCUCCUGGAGCGGCCGAUAUCUGAUUAGCUAGUUGGUAGGGUAAAAGCCUACCAAGGCAUCGAUCAGUAGCUGGUCUGAGAGGACGACCAGCCACACUGGAACUGAGACACGGUCCAGACUCCUACGGGAGGCAGCAGUGGGGAAUUUUGGACAAUGGGCGCAAGCCUGAUCCAGCAAUGCCGCGUGAGUGAAGAAGGCCUUCGGGUUGUAAAGCUCUUUUGUCAGGGAAGAAAAGGUUACGAAUAAUACUCGUGGCUCAUGACGGUACCUGAAGAAUAAGCACCGGCUAACUACGUGCCAGCAGCCGCGGUAAUACGUAGGGUGCAAGCGUUAAUCGGAAUUACUGGGCGUAAAGCGUGCGCAGGCGGUUUUGUAAGUCUGUUGUGAAAUCCCCGGGCUCAACCUGGGAAUGGCAAUGGAGACUGCAAGGCUAGAGUUUGGCAGAGGGGGGUAGAAUUCCACGUGUAGCAGUGAAAUGCGUAGAUAUGUGGAGGAACACCGAUGGCGAAGGCAGCCCCCUGGGUCAAAACUGACGCUCAUGCACGAAAGCGUGGGGAGCAAACAGGAUUAGAUACCCUGGUAGUCCACGCCCUAAACGAUGUCUACUAGUUGUCGGGUCUUAAUUGACUUGGUAACGCAGCUAACGCGGAAAGUAG
rnacentral:rRNA from 1 species